rnacentral:rRNA from 1 species
GAGCUCCUACGGGAGGCAGCAGUGGGGAAUAUUGGGCAAUGGGCGCAAGCCUGACCCAGCAACGCCGCGUGAAGGAAGAAGGCUUUCGGGUUGUAAACUUCUUUUCUCAGGGACGAGGCAAGUGACGGUACCUGAGGAAUAAGCCACGGCUAACUACGUGCCAGCAGCCGCGGUAAUACGUAGGUGGCAAGCGUUAUCCGGAUUUACUGGGUGUAAAGGGCGUGUAGGCGGGGACGCAAGUCAGAUGUGAAAACCACGGGCUCAACCUGUGGCCUGGAUUUGACACCGGGCUUCUUUAGU